rnacentral:misc_RNA from 1 species
GAUGAAGAACGUAGCGAAAUGCGAUACGUAAUGUGAAUUGCAAAUUCAGUGAAUCAUCGAGUCUUUGAACGCACAUUGCGCCCGCUAGUAUUCUGGCGGGCAUGCCUGUCCGAGCGUCAUUUCAACCCUCAAGCCCCCGGGCUUGGUGUUGGGGAUCGGCGAGCCUCCGCGCCCGCCGUCCCCUAAAUCUAGUGGCGGUCUCGCUGUAGCUUCCUCUGCGUAGUAGCACACCUCGCACUGGGAAACAGCGCGGCCACGCCGUUAAACCCCCAACUUCUGAACAUUUGACCUCGGAUCAGGUAGGAAUACCCGCUGAACUUAAGCAUAUCAAUAAGCGGAGGA